rnacentral:lncRNA from 1 species
GUGGAGCCCGGGGCGCGGGGGCGGGGGCGCCCGGGGGAGCGGGGCCUGGGUUCGGAGCGGCCUUCGGGGCGGCCUGCGGGGCGAGGGGCGCGGGGCGCGGGGCGCGGGCGGGGGCGGGGGGCGUCGGCGGCGGGGCCAGGCCCCCUCCCUCCAGGCACCCGGCCGCCCCUCCGUGCUGGCUUCUCGUUCCCGGGGAGGCCGCCACCUCCUCCCUCUCAUUUUAAGCCCUUAAAUGGGCUUCAGCUUUUCUCUGCGCAUGACUGUGAAGGGAUUAAACUCAGGAUCUCCUGCUUGCCUGGCAGGCCCUGUGCCGCUGAGCUACAUCCCCGGCCCUACCCAGGUUUGGAUCCUUGUGGUGUUGUCUAGUCUAUCACUGGAGGGAAGUGACAUAAUGCCUCUAG